GGGGGGAGGCCGGAUCCUGGGCUGUGUCCUGGUGCCCAGUGCUCCCGGCCUGCACUGUUGGAUUCGCGCUCCCGCCCCGCAGCCCCCU
rnacentral:pre_miRNA from 1 species